CAGCACACCCGCGCUCGCGCGCAGACACUGCUGCACACUGUGCUCCCAAGCUGGAACGCUCUCUUGCCGAUACAAUUGAAGGGCGAUCCUCCCCGCACAUCCAACCCGCCUCUCCACCGCUCCUCGACCAGCCCCACCACGACCGCAUCAGCCGCGGCGACUUCUUCGAGUGCACGAGCAGGGCGGGGUGUAUCGGAGUAUUUGUGGACCAGACAAGCGGUCAGAUAUACGGAUGCGCAUCGGCAGGAGGGACAGCACUCGCAGAGCUGUCGUACGUCGAACAACAGUCAGCAGCAGUGACAGCACCUACGACUGAGCGGCGCAUUGACGCCGACGACUCAUCCUCCCGCCUCGACACCUCGUUUGGCUCGACGCACAUCGACCACGAAGAUGUGGAGCGGUGGAGCGCGUGGAUCCUGACCAGAGGGGAAACAUCGCCGCCGUUGGCAAAGUUAUGAGAGCGUCGGGACGGGGCGACGGGGGAUAUCCUGGACUGCGAGCGUGGCGGCGAAGGAGGAGCAAGAAGCAGUAGUCCAAGGACAAGAGCAAGAAGCAGUUUACGGAACAGCGGUGCGUCU
rnacentral:misc_RNA from 1 species